rnacentral:lncRNA from 10 species
GCCUCAGACAGGGCAAAGCCAAGAAUGGCAUAGGAGAAGAGCUGCUGCUUGAGAGACGGGUUCCUGGGAGGGACAGAGAUCAUUGCCAGUUGAGGGAGAGGAAGGGGUGAGGGGAGGGGAGGACACAGGAGGGUGAGGUGAAUGGGGACUGUUACUCCUGGGAGAGGGCCUAGCCUGCACAGAUCCUGGGGAUUUGGAUGGACAAGCAGAGUGGGCCAACCUGGUAAGUUUAAGUGAGCCAGGCUGGAUGCAUGUUUUCUCUGGAGAAACUAUGAUGUAGAUGAAAUCAACCUGAAGGCUCCUGAAGGGAGCUCCUCCAGCUGAGGCUUCCCCAAACGGGGUGGAAUUUACAGUGGGAGAUGCUGUAGACCACCCAAACUUACCUGGCAUAGCCAAUGAUCAAGCUGCCAAACACGGUUCCAAUGCCAGCCCCUGAAC